rfam:Citrus sinensis cultivar Ridge Pineapple sweet orange scaffold11775_contig_1, whole genome shotgun sequence.
UUGUCUCCGGGAGUUCCUCCGAUCACUUCAUUGGGGCUAUAUGAUCAUUUAGAGAAAAUUUGUCACCCCACUGAAGUGUUUGGGGGAACUCUGGGUGCCAC